rnacentral:tRNA from 2 species
CUUAGCUCAGUUGGUUAGAGCACCUGACUCUUAAUCAGGGUGUCCAGGGUUCGAGUCCCUG